rnacentral:rRNA from 2 species
UACGGAGGGUGCAAGCGUUAAUCGGAAUUACUGGGCGUAAAGCGCGCGUAGGUGGUUUGGUAAGCGAGAUGUGAAAGCCCCGGGCUUAACCUGGGAACGGCAUUUCGAACUGUCAGACUAGAGUGUGGUAGAGGGUAGUGGAAUUUCCUGUGUAGCGGUGAAAUGCGUAGAUAUAGGAAGGAACACCAGUGGCGAAGGCGGCUACCUGGACCAACACUGACACUGAGGUGCGAAAGCGUGGGGAGCAAACAGG